UUUUAGGGUUUCUCAUCUUUUCAUUAUCCGCCCCAACUCCAUGCUUUCUCUCUCCCACACGAUUUCCAGAUCUAGGGUUUCAAUACCACCGAAUCGUUCAUUUUCUCUCAAUCCGACAGAAGAUCUAGUGGGGUUGAUCUCUAGAAGAUCCACUGGGGUUGACCUCUUGGUACCGUAUAAACCAUCUUCUCCGAGAUCAGCUGCUGCUUAUGUUAAUCCUCAUCGUUUUCUGUUUAGAUCUGGUUUUAAUACCGCGGUUGUAUAUCUGAAUCUGCCAAUUUUAUUCCAUUUUCAAACCUUCAAAGAUCCAGAGAACUAAAGGCUAUGGUUCAACUAACUAGCAGUUAACUUCUCCUAGAUCCGCUGCUGCUCGUGUUAAUCCUCAUCGUCUUCUAUUCAGAUCUGGUUUUAAUACUGGUGAUAACUCUGCACCCAGCACUGGAGAGACGUUUCCAGCCCGUAAAGCUCCCAGAAGAAGCUAGAGAGCUCGAGAAAGAACCUAGGCAAAUAACAAAAGAAAAGAACAAAGCUGUUUGUGGCCAAGAUUUCGAAAAGGCUGGGGAGUUACGUGAUUGGGGAAUGGAUCUUAAAACUCAAUCAUCCACUCUUAUGGAAAAAAACAAAGAGAUGAGCAAAGCCAAGACCGAGGCGGGAGAAGAGGGCCCAACCGUAACUGAAGCGGACAUUCAACACAUUAUCUCAUCAGAUAUCAAGAAUACCUAACUUAAAGUUUCAAAUUUCUUACAAACUAACCUCAAUACAAAGAACUCUAUAACGGCAAGGGUUCUUCGCCAGGUAACGAUGGUUGUGAACGACGUGAAAUUCAUUUUGACAUUUUCUAAUCAACAAUGCUUUGUUUCAGUCGAAAAAUGCUUUGUUUCUCAUCUAUUGGAUUUUUGCAAAUAGUUUUUAAACUUAAUAAGAUUAAGCAACUCGAAACUA